UAAACGGAAUAUGGUAAAGCCGCGAAUGGCUCAUUACAACAGCCAUAGUUUAUUGGAUCUUAGAGUCCUACUUGGAUACCUGUGGUAAUUCUAGAGCUAAUACACGCAAUCAAGCCCCAACCUGACGGGAGGGGCGCAUUUAUUAGAACAAAACCAAUUGGCUUCGGCCAUUAAUUGGUGAAUCUGAAUAACUACGCUGAUCGCACGGUCUCGCACCGGCGACGUAUCCUUCAAGUGUCUGCCUUAUCAACUUUCGAUGGUAGUUUACAUGACUACCAUGGUUGUAACGGGUAACGGAGAAUAAGGGUUCGACUCCGGAGAGGGAGCCUGAGAAACGGCUACCACAUCCAAGGAAGGCAGCAGGCGCGCAAAUUACCCACUCUCAGAACGAGGAGGUAGUGACGAAAAAUAACGAGACAGUUCUCUAUGAGGUCUGUCAUCGGAAUGGGUACAAUCUAAACCCUUUAACGAGGAUCUAUUGGAGGGCAAGUCUGGUGCCAGCAGCCGCGGUAAUUCCAGCUCCAAUAGCGUAUAUUAAAGUUGUUGCGGUUAAAAAGCUCGUAGUUGGAUCUGCGGUCACAGACGCCGGUUUCCUUCACGGAAUACUGGUUGUCUUGACCUACCUUACUGGUUUUCCAUUGGUGCUCUUUACUGAGUGCCCUUGGUGGCUAGUACGUUUACUUUGAAAAAAUUAGAGUGCUUAACGCAGGCUUUUGCCUGAAUAGUGGUGCAUGGAAUAAUGGAAUAGGACCUCGGUUCUAUUUUGUUGGUUUUCGGAGCACGAGGUAAUGAUUAAGAGGGACAGACGGGGGCAUUCGUACUGCUGCGUUAGAGGUGAAAUUCUUGGAUCGCAGCAUGACGAACAACUGCGAAAGCAUUUGCCAAGAAUGUUUUCAUUAAUCAAGAACGAUAGUUAGAGGUUCGAAGGCGAUCAGAUACCGCCCUAGUUCUAACCGUAAACGAUGCCAACUAGCAAUCCGCUGGCGUUAAUUCUGACUCAGCGGGCGGCUGCCCGGAAACGAUAAGUUUUUCGGUUCCGGGGGAAGUAUGGUUGCAAAUCCGAAACUUAAAGGAAUUGACGGAAGGGCACCACCAGGAGUGGAGCCUGCGGCUUAAUUUGACUCAACACGGGAAAACUCACCCGGCCCGGACACUGUAAGGAUUGACAGAUUGAAAGCUCUUUCACGAUUCAGUGGGUGGUGGUGCAUGGCCGUUCUUAGUUGGUGGAGCGAUUUGUCUGGUUAAUUCCGAUAACGAACGAGACUCUAGCCUACUAAAUAGUGCGAGGAUCUUUA
rnacentral:rRNA from 1 species